rnacentral:rRNA from 1 species
UACGUAGGCGGAAAAUUAAGUCAGUAGUGAAAUCCUGCAGCCUAACUGUAGAACUGUUAUUGAUACUGGUUUUCUUGAAUAUAGUUGAGGUAGGCGGAAUGUGUAAUGUAGCGGUGAAAUGCUUAGAUAUUACACAGAACACCGAUUGCGAAGGCAGCUUACUAAGCUAUGAUUGACGCUGAGGUACGAAAGCGUGGGGAGCGAACAGGAUUAGAUACCCUGGUAGUCC